AACCUCCGCAAUGUGAGAAAUCGCGACGGGGGGAUCCCAAGUGCCAUUCUUAACGGGAUGGCUUUUCAUUAGUGUAAAGAGCUUUUGGAAUAAGGGCUGGGCAAGACCGGUGCCAGCCGCCGCGGUAACACCGGCAGCUCUAGUGGUAGCAGUUUUUAUUGGGCCUAAAGCGUCCGUAGCCGGUUUAAUAAGUCUCUGGUGAAAUCCUGUAGCUUAACUGUGGGAAUUGCUGGAGAUACUAUUAGACUUGAGACCGGGAGAGGUUAGAGGUACUCCAGGGUAGAGGUGAAAUUCUGUAAUCCUGGGAGGACCGCCUGUUGCGAAGGCGUCUAACUGGAACGGUUCUGACGGUGAGGGACGAAAGUUAGGGGCGCGGAACCGGAUUAGAUACCCGGGUAGUCCUAACUGUAAACGAUGCGGACUUGGUGUUGGGGUGGCUUUGAGCUGCUCCAGUGCCGAAGGGAAGCUGUUAAGUCCGCCGCCUGGGAAGUACGGUCGCAAGACUGAAACUUAAAGGAAUU
rnacentral:rRNA from 1 species